rnacentral:rRNA from 1 species
UCCAGACUCCUACGGGAGGCAGCAGUGGGGAAUAUUGGACAAUGGGGGGAACCCUGAUCCAGCGACGCCGCGUGAGUGAAGAAGUAUUUCGGUAUGUAAAGCUCUAUCAGCAGGGAAGAAAAUGACGGUACCUGAGUAAGAAGCCCCGGCUAACUACGUGCCAGCAGCCGCGGUAAUACGUAGGGGGCAAGCGUUAUCCGGAUUUACUGGGUGUAAAGGGAGCGUAGACGGCCAGACAAGUCUGAAGUGAAAAUCCAGCGCUUAACGUUGGAAGUGCUUUGGAAACUGCCGGGCUAGAGUGCAGGAGGGGCAGGCGGAAUUCCUAGUGUAGCGGUGAAAUGCGUAGAUAUUAGGAGGAACACCAGUGGCGAAGGCGGCCUGCUGGACUGCAACUGACGUUGAGGCUCGAAGGCGUGGGGAGCAAACAGGAUUAGAUACCCUAGUA